AUGAACGCUGCGGCAUGCUAAGACAUGCAAGUCGAACGAAGCGACCCGUUGGAACUGAGUGCUUGCACAAGGUGGAUUUGGAUUUCGCUUAGUGGCGAAGGGUGAGUAACACGUGGGUUAUCUACCUUAGAGACUGGGAUAACUAUUGGAAACGAUAGCUAAUACCGGAUUAUAUAUAUAAUGAUACGUUAUUAUAUAUUAAAAGGAGCCUUUAAAGCUUCACUUUAAGAUGAGCCUGCGGCGUAUUAGCUAGUUGGUAAGGUAAUGGCUUACCAAGGCGACGAUGCGUAGCCGAACUGAGAGGUUGAUCGGCCACAUUGGGACUGAGACACGGCCCAAACUCCUACGGGAGACAGCAGUUAGGAAUAUUCGUCAAUGGGGGAAACCCUGAACGAGCAAUGCCGCGUGUGGGAAGAAGCAUUUCGGUGUGUAAACCACUGUCAUGAGGGAAUAAGGCCCGCCUUCGGACGGGAUUGAAUGUACCUUGAGAGGAAGCACCGGCAAACUUCGUGCCAGCCGCUGC
rnacentral:rRNA from 1 species